UUACGAAUAAAAUAUUGACAUUUGCCAUCUCCACAUCAUUGCAUUCAGUUUUUAUUCACAAUUUGUGUAGUGUCCCAAAUUUUUUUGGAAUCCGGUUUGUAUUUAGUAUUUGUGUUCAGAACA